rnacentral:rRNA from 1 species
AUUGAACGCUGGCGGCAUGCUUUACACAUACAAGUCGAACGGUAACAGGGAGCUUGCUCCGCUGACGAGUGGCGAACGGGUGAGUAAUGCGUCGGAACGUGCCGAGUAGUGGGGGAUAACGCAUCGAAAGGUGUGCUAAUACCGCAUACGUACUGAGGUAGAAAGUGGGGGACCUUCGGGCCUCACGCUAUUCGAGCGGCCGACGUCUGAUUAGCUAGUUGGUGAGGUAAAGGCUCACCAAGGCGACGAUCAGUAGCGGGUCUGAGAGGAUGAUCCGCCACACUGGGACUGAGACACGGCCCAGACUCCUACGGGAGGCAGCAGUGGGGGAUUUUGGACAAUGGGCGCAAGCCUGAUCCAGCCAUGCCACGUGUCUGAAGAAGGCCUUCGGGUUGUAGAGGACUUUUGUCCGGGAGCAAAUGCCUGGUGUUAAUAGCACUGGGAGCUGAGAGUACCGGAAGAAUAAGCACCGGCUAACUACGUGCCAGCAGCCGCGGUAAUAC